rnacentral:rRNA from 1 species
AUUGAACGCUGGCGGCAGGCCUAACACAUGCAAGUCGAGCGGAGCGAGGGUGCUUGCACCUUAGCUUAGCGGCGGACGGGUGAGUAAUGCUUAGGAAUCUGCCUAUUAGUGGGGGACAACAUUCCGAAAGGAAUGCUAAUACCGCAUACGCCCUACGGGGGAAAGCAGGGGAUCUUCGGACCUUGCGCUAAUAGAUGAGCCUAAGUCGGAUUAGCUAGUUGGUGGGGUAAAGGCCUACCAAGGCGACGAUCUGUAGCGGGUCUGAGAGGAUGGUCCGCCACACUGGGACUGAGACACGGCCCAGACUCCUACGGGAGGCAGCAGUGGGGAAUAUUGGACAAUGGGCGGAAGCCUGAUCCAGCCAUGCCGCGUGUGUGAAGAAGGCCUUUUGGUUGUAAAGCACUUUAAGCGAGGAGGAGGCUCUUAAGGUUAAUACCCUUGAUGAGUGGACGUUACUCGCAGAAUAAGCACCGGCUAACUCUGUGCCAGCAGCCGCCGUAACAC